AUGCGCAGCGCGCGCUCUACGGCGCUGAACCGGGGCGAGCAGAGAGCUGUCAGAUACUAUAGCCAUAUGAAGUUGAACAUGGCAGAAGAAGAGGACUAUAUGUCUGAUUCCUUCAUUAAUGUCCAAGAAGAUAUCAGACCAGGAUUGCCAAUGCUAAGGCAAAUCCGAGAAGCCCGUCGAAAAGAAGAAAAGCAACAGGAAGCCAAUUUGAAAAACAGGCAGAAGAGUUUAAAAGAAGAAGAACAAGAAAGACGUGACAUUGGGUUGAAGAAUGCACUAGGCUGUGAAAACAAAGGGUUUGCCUUGCUCCAAAAGAUGGGCUAUAAAAGUGGUCAGGCACUUGGCAAGAGUGGGGGUGGUAUUGUUGAACCAAUUCCUCUCAAUAUCAAAACAGGGAAAAGUGGCAUUGGUCAUGAGGCAUCAUUAAAACGGAAAGCAGAGGAAAAAUUGGAAAGCUACAGAAAAAAGAUUCACAUGAAAAACCAAGCUGAAGAAAAAGCUGCAGAACAGUUUCGAAUGCGACUUAAAAAUAAGCAAGAUGAAAUGAAGCUAGAAGGAGAUCUCAGAAGAAGCCAGCGAGCCUGUCAACAACUGGAUGUCCAGAAAAAUAUUCAGGUUCCCAGGGAAGCAUGGUACUGGUUGAGGCUUGAAGAGGAGACUGAAGAAGAUGAAGAAGAAAAAGAACAGGAUGAAGAUGAAUAUAAGAGUGAAGAUUUAAGCAAAAUGGAGGCCGGGCAUGGUGGCUCACACCUGUAAUCCAAACACUUUGGGAGACCAAAACUGGUGGAUCACUUGAGGUCAGGAGUUUAAGACCAGCCUGGCCAACAUGGUACUGGAAAAAUUACAAAUAUUGACUAGUUAUUUAAGAGAAGAACAUCUAUAUUGUAUUUGGUGUGGAACAGCCUAUGAAGAUAAAGAAGACCUAUCUUCAAAUUGUCCAGGACCAACUUCUGCAGAUCAUGACUAAGAUUAUUCCCAAUAAAGUGGAAACUUGAAAAAUGUUAUUACUUCCUAGGGAUAGACAAUUUAGCAGUUGGAAAUCUCAAAUUUUUUAUGCCAGUAAAGAAAGGGGGACUUUAUAUAAUGUUUUGUUCUUUUUGUACUUUAGAAUAUGAAUGUUCAUUGACUUGAAAAAAAUAAUGCAAUGGCAUUUCAGAACACAAGUAUCACAGAGAUGGACAGUUACAAUUUAUUGCUAUAUUGUGAUACGUGAGGGGUUUAAGGACACCAACAGGUAACUUCUUAUUCCCCUCUUCACUUUGGAACAAAUUGAGAAAUAAGAAAUGGGAGUCAGAGGAAGAGAAAAAUAUCCACUUUAUCAGUGAAUAAACUGAUACAGAGAAGAAGGUUGACUUUUUCUCCAGUCAGAGACUGUAAUAUUUCUCCCUGAUUGGAGAGAACAGCGGGUCUCUGCCUUGUUGGGGCAGAGCCCAUCUUUGCAUUCUGAGACCAGUUAGCUUUCAAGGUCAGGGAAACCACCAGGGGCUGGACCACACAUGCUCAGUUCCUUCUUGUAUCACCCAUGGGAUAAGACAGUUCUCUCUUGGGAAGGAAUGAAUGAGGGUUCAGAGAGCUUUUUCCUACACUUCUUGCUUUGAAGGAGCAAGGAGAAGUUCCCUUCCCUCCAUCCAAGCAUGAAGAGGAGGGGAAAAGUAUUCCCCUCAAUAAGGCUGAUGUCAGAGGCAAUGUUCGACCAGUACUACUAAAUUCUAAUCCAUUUAACUGUGAUAAUUUCUGGUAAAAUCAUGAGUUUUCAUGACAAUGUCUAUAUCCAUUAUAUGUGAUCUGUUGGAAGUUUUGGCUAGAGAAACUUAAUUGUGAGGAAAUUUAAAUAUUGUGUGAUGCAAGUACUUACUGAAUUUGGAAACCCCUUGAUAGCAUUCCCAGCAAGUGAUAGUUCAACCUUUGCUUUUAUUCUUCCAGCCACAGAGAACUCACUGCUUUAAAACCAUUCCAUUACUGGGUAGCUCUGAAUUGUUUUCAUUGUUUUCUCUUAAACUGAAAUCUGCUUCCCUGUAAUAUUAAUGAAUACAGCUAAGGACAUACCGUGUGGCAUACUAUGAGAGAGCUCCAUCCAGGGUGAGGCAUCAAAAUCAUGAACCUUUUUAAAAGUUCAUAUGCUCAGGUGUCUCUCCUAGUGAUUGAUUUUGAUUUGUCUUGGCUAAGGUGGUUCCUGGAUAUCUAUAUAUUUAUUUUGAAGUCCCAAGAAUGAGUGAUAAGCACCUGAGGAUAAGAACUAGUACUGAGGUUAAGGAUGGAGCACCACCAUUCUUUGGAUAGAGUUGUGAUCACCUGUGUGAUUUUAUAGCUCACCUGUUAGUUAGAUUGAGCAAGAGAACAACCCCUUUUAUUAGAAACAGCAUACAUAAGAAGAUUGUAAAAAUUAACCUACACUUGCUAGGGUAAGAUAAUCAGUAGUACAAUUUGUAUUAAUCUCUGACCUAAUAUGACCUAAUUCACUUUUCAAGUUUAACUUGGGGAGCUUUACAAAAUAGUAAUAAAAGGGUCCCAUCCCAAGAGAUUCUGAUGCCAUUAGUCACUGUGACUUGGGCAUCACUGCCCUUGAUUCUAAAAUGCAGCCUACCUUGAGCCACUAAUCUAGUUAACUUCUGGGCCUCAGUUCUUCAUCCAGAAAACUAAUCAUUAUUUUUAUGAAUGUAAAUAUGUGUAUAUAUAUAAUAUUUAUAUGUUUGGAUGCUAUUGUUUAAUAUUUACUUUUUUGUUUUUAAAAAAAUUAUAAAAUUGGCUGAGCGCAGUGGUUCACUCCUGUAAUCCCAGCACUUUAGGACGCCAAGGCAGGCAGAUCACUUGAAGCCAGGAGUUCAAGACCAACCUGGCCAACAUGGUGAAACCCCAUCUCUACUAAAAAUACAAAAAUUAGCUGGGCGUGGUGGCAUUCGCCUGUAAUCCCAGCUACUCAGAAGGCGGAGGCAUGAGAAUUGCUUGAACCUGGGAGGCAGAUAUUGCAGUGAGCUGAGAUCAUGCUGCUGCACUCCAGCCUGGGUGACAGAGCAAGACCCUGUCUCAAAAAAAAAAAUUAUAUAUAUAUAUGUAUGUAUAUAUAUAUAUAUAUAGAGAGAGAGAGAGAGAGAGAGCUAUUAAUAAAACAGAGGAGUACAUUUUACCCUUGCAAUUCCAGUCAAUACUGUGGUGUCAUUUCAGCCAACAUACCAACAUUCAGUCAAAUCCCAAAGCCAAAUGGAUAAUUUCAGAUGGAAUGGAGUUAGACAGGAACUGGCUUCCCUUUCUCCUGUUACUAUGAGGACAACCCACACCUGCUCAGUGGCCUAAAAUAUUUUAAAUAUGUUCAUGACAAUUAUGCUGAGAAUGCCAGGAUAACACUGAUGGAACCCAUGACUUCACCAGGAUUGUGGUCUACAUUUACAGGCCUAGUACUAGAACUAGACCGGCUUAGAGAGUGGGAGAUAUCCCUCUGUUGUCCAUCGAAAGAUAAAAAUACAGGCUUUCAGCCGGGUGCAGUGGUGCAUGCCUUUGGUCCCAGCUACUCAGGGGGCUGAGAUGGGGAAUCCUUUGAGCCCAGAAGUUUGAAACCAGCCUGGGCAACAUAGUGAGAGACCUCCAUCUUAAGGGAAUAAAAAAAAAAUCAGACUUUCAAUAUGAGUAACAAGUUAUUUUUAGGCCUUUUAUGACUUUAUAAAUAGGCAAUAAUGAACACCAAGGGAAGCAAAACACUGAAAAGAAUUUUAAAAUUUGUUGUAGAACAUUAAUACGAAAUUUGAAACUGCAAAACAAUGUAAAAUUUAAUGUCAUGUUGUCAUUUACUUUUGUGUAUAUUGUGCCAUGUUUAUUUUCAAAGUCCUAUCUAGAAAUUCUAAAAUGUCUAAUUUUCUUAAUUAAAAAUCCAGAAUUCUGUAGUUUCUGAAAUUCAAAAUAAAUACUUUAACAUACCAAAUUGGUUUUUCUAAUAAACAUUUAUUUCAAGUGUUA